CACGUAGGGCGCGAGCGUUGUCCGGAAUUAUUGGGCGUAAAGAGCUCGUAGGCGGCCUGUUGCGUCCGCUGUGAAAGCCCGGGGCUUAACCCCGGGUCUGCAGUGGAUACGGGCAGGCUAGAGGUAGGUAGGGGAGAAUGGAAUUCCCGGUGUAGCGGUGAAAUGCGCAGAUAUCGGGAGGAACACCGGUGGCGAAGGCGGUUCUCUGGGCCUUACCUGACGCUGAGGAGCGAAAGCGUGGGGAGCGAAACAGGG
rnacentral:rRNA from 1 species